rnacentral:rRNA from 1 species
CCCUUAGAUGUUCUGGGCUGCACGCGCGCUACACUGAAGCGUUCAACGAGUAUUUCACCUUGCCCGGGAGGGUUGGGUAAUCUUUUUAAAACGCUUCGUGAUGGGGAUAGAUUAUUGCAAUUAUUAAUCUUCAACGAGGAAUUCCUAGUAAGCGCGAGUCAUCAGCUCGUGCUGAUUACGUCCCUGCCCUUUGUACACACCGCCCGUCGCUACUACAGAGUGCCCGUGUCCAAGAAACGGUCGGACCUGUGCGGCCUCUCCGGGCGACCGGAGGGCCGUUACGGGGAAGACCCUUUAUUUGACGCGGGUCGAUGAAGUAAAAGUCGUAACA